rfam:Salmo salar isolate Sally breed double haploid chromosome ssa02, whole genome shotgun sequence.
AUUGUAUCAGUUUGUAAGUCGCUCUGGAUAAGAGCGUCUGCUAAAUUACGUAAA